CGCUGUACAAAAACCUCCAACCAUACUCCAUGUGCAAUACACAAUUGGUGUUGAAAUUAAAUCACUGUCAAAUCAUUUCUAUGUUUUUCUGAGUAAACUCCAUAGCCCUGGUUUAUACUAGUUAACCACUUUUACCUCUACAUAUUACUGUUUUAGUGCAGAAAUGCACAGGUGUAAUCAUAAAACCAUUAGUUAGCUCUAAAAAAGAACAUAAUUUAAGUAAGAACAUAAUGUAAGUGUUUAAUGCAUAUAAAUGCAUAUACAUAAGUUCAGCUGAAUCAGUUUAAUGGUGUUAAACUGAAUGUACAAAGCAAACUGCUGAAAUAUCCACAACAAUCAGUUGCAUGUGAAAGAACUAUCACUGACACCCUAUGACUAAAAUAUAAGAUGAACAAAACAUUAAAUAAACUUCAUAAACUUGAUUAAAAUAAACCCAUGACAACCACAUUCUAUAUGAUGACUAUUUUACUGAGAUGUGUUUCUCCAGGCCAAUUUAUGGAUAUUGAAACUUGUGAUGUGAUGGCUAAAAUGAUCCACAAGAGGGCAGUCUUCAACCAAAAAUGAAUAGAAACGUAACCAUUUCUUCAAGGGCAUAUAAGGGGAGGAGAUCCAAGGCAAUUAUUUCAGGUAUGCAGAGGUUUCAGACAUAGUUAAACAUAGUUGCUCAUUUGCUCCUUGUCAGUAAUGCUUUUCUUGUUUUGUCUGUGGCUUAUCUCCCUCUUAACAGGUGAUGCCUCUAGUGAGGGAAUAGCACCAGUCUCCCCUAAUGCAUUUGUCUCAGAAGGGAACACAAUCACCCUGUCCUGCAAUUACAAUGGAUCAGCUGCUACAGAUGCUCUCCACUGGUAUCGUCAGUACCCGGGAUCCAGACCAGACUUCCUGUUUCUAGUUAAUGAAGCUAAAUUUGAGCAACCAGCUGUUCCUUCAAUUCCUGGAAUAUCUGCUAGAAUAAAUGAGGAGAAAAAUCGUGUGGAUCUGGAGAUCAUUGGCACUGCAUUAACUGAUUCUGCUCUGUACUACUGUGCCCUGCAGCCCACAGUGACAGGAAACUCACACACACUGUACAAAAAUCAGACACAUUAAAAUAGAAUUCAGUGUCUGUGCUCAGUGGAUGAUUAUGCAUGUUUAUAUUUGAAAGUUUUGAUCCAGCAUUGGGAGCCAAUGAGUUUCAAUUGCCUUUUGAUUGUCUUCUUAGCAACAUCUGACCUUGUUGCUAAGACAGAAUACUGAAAUACAUUUAACCAGAAGUUCUUACAGUUCUUACCAGUAUGCAGUCUACAUUUUGACACAUCUUAGUGAGUGCAUUAUUAUUAUGUUAUGCUGCACAAUGAUGAAAGUUUCCUGACUUUUCUCAUUACAUUCAUUAUUAAAGCAUUAACCAAUCUGUGAUCUAAUCACUCAAAUUUGUUGUCAAAAAGUUGCCAUUUUGAUAUGAUGCCAAAUGUGAUGAUUAUGAAUAUACCAGACACCUUAUCACAUAUGAAAUACUACAUAUUAGUAGUCAAAAUGGAUUUUCAAAUGUACACUCUCAUGAAGAAAAAAAGGUACAAAAGUCCUUACUGGGGCAGUAUCUUUUUAAAAAGUUCUAUGAUGUAUAAUUUAGGCACUAAUAUGCACCGCACGUCCUGAUUUUGCUGAGGUAUUAGCAUAUUUUGUUGACCCUGGAACAACAUUUUAAUCCAAAAAUGUAGUCUUGACCAUAUCCCUACACCUAAACCUAACGUUAACCAUGAGUACUCCCUAAAGUCAGAGGAAAUUACAGAUGAAUGACACUGAUGUACAAGCACCGAACACUGAUUGUAAACCUAAACUUCACAAAAACUAUAAACUGGUUCUUCAAAUCUGAUUGGUUAAUCACAAUGUUUUUCCAGCACCAACAAAGAUGCUGAUCCAGGAACAUGUCGCACUUGGUAAAAUCAAGUUCUCCAAUAUGUACCUUCAAGAUACUACGCACCCUUUUUUUCUGAGAGUGUAUCACAUUUUAUGUAAUCACAAUCACACAGAGAUAAUUGGGUGGAGCUUCAAGAUACUGUGUUGGGAUUCAUCUCUUAUUUGACUUCAGUCUG